GUGAGCGGAGAUUGGCCUCCUCUUCUUCUUCUACUCCAUUCAAUAACGAAAUUAUCUUCUUUGUCCAGCCAGCGGGAUUCUGUAAUAUUUUACUUUGUUUCCUCCUCUGUGCCGGACCUCGCAUUAAUUCGCAUUAUAGCUAGGGGGUAGAAAAAGAAGAGGAGAGAAGGAGGACAGAACAUCGGGGAUAGGUUUCGUGCAACUUGCUGGGCUCUGAAUGUAGUAAACCCGCGUUGACAGAAAAUGUAUUUCAUUUACAGCACAGCAGUGGCGUUCCACCACGCUUUCCGUGGAACAGAGGGUUCUGAUGGCACUGCGAUUCUAUGGAACCGGCGCCUUUCUCGACAACAUCGCUCAUGAGGAGUAUUUCGCAACGACAAAGCGACCGGUUUCAGAGGCCAUUCAUGCAGUCAGCAUGGCCAUCAUAAAAAACCUGCCUCCCAGCUACUUGCGAUUUCCUUCAACCCCUGAAGAAAAGAUGGCUGUGAAGCGUGGUUUCUAUGAUAUAAAAGGUCUGCUAGGUUGUCUUGGCGCAGUUGAUGGGACGGCAGUCUCAAUCAUCGCACCAAGCACGGCAGAUCCACGCUUUAUUGAUGGCAACUAUUACUGCCAUAAGGGGUAUCAUGCAUUGAACGUUCUGGGGGUAUGUAAAUAUGGAAUCAAUUACAGUGUGUACUUUCAAGAAGCAUUUUUAAAGACGUACGAGCAGUGCUAUAAAGACUUCUAUAUAUGAACAGAUCUGCGAUGCAAGUCGACGGAUACUCCACAUUAAUGCAAGAUACCCAGGAAGCUUGUGCUGGAGCUUGUGCAGGAUACGCCAGAGGGCCUCAGUCCUUUUUGCAGAGGGAGAGUGGCGGGGACCUCGGUUACCCACUUGAACCCUGGCUCAUGACUCCUUUUCGGUCUCCUGGAACAGACAAAGAGGAAGCAUUCAACAAGGCUCACAGCAGCACCAGAGUUCGGAUCGAACAGUGUUUCGGAGUGUUGAAGAUGCGCUUCAGGUGCUUGCAGCGUUACCGCACUCUACACUUUGCACCAGACAGGGUCUGUAACAUCAUUACUGCAUGUGCCAUUCUGCACAACAUAUGUCACUCUUACAAUUUGCCUAUGCCAACUGAGGAGCCUGACGUGAUGACUGUAGAAAAUGACAGUGACCAUGAGGAAUCUAAUGAGGACGAUUUUGGAGCUGCCGAUAAUCCCAGCCGUGACACUUCAACAUCUCAGGCAAUGCGCAUACGCAAUAGAAUUGUGGACAGAUACUUUUAAGUUUUAACACAUACAAAAACAUAAAGGGCGCCUCAUCCAAACCAUGUAUCUGCCUUCUGACCUUCGUGACACAUUCUUGGCAGGUCCCCAUUGCUUAGUUUGGUACUGUCUCUAUAAGAGUGAGUUUCAAGUAUUAAUACUAGAGACACAUAAAUAGCUAUGUAUUUGCAAUACCCACUUCAAGAAUUCAGUUGCAAGCAUUUUAUUAUGUACAGCCUCAUACUGCAAGUUUAGUUGUUUUCAACGAGUUGUCUAAACGAGCUCAAGCAUGU